rnacentral:rRNA from 1 species
GAUGAACGCUGGCGGCGUGCCUAAUACAUGCAAGUCGAGCGAACGGACGAGUAGCUUGCUUUUCUGAUGUUAGCGGCGGACGGGUGAGUAACACGUGGAUAACCUACCUAUAAGACUGGGAUAACUUCGGGAAACCGGAGCUAAUACCGGAUAAUAUUUUGAACCGCAUGGUUCAAAAGUGAAAGACGGUCUUGCUGUCACUUAUAGAUGGAUCCGCGCUGCAUUAGCUAGUUGGUAAGGUAACGGCUUACCAAGGCAACGAUGCAUAGCCGACCUGCGAGGGUGAUAGGCCACACUGGAGCUGAGACACGGACCAGACUCCUAAGAGAGGCAGCAGUAGGGAAUCGUCCGCAAUGGGCGAAAGCCUGACGGAGCAACGCCGCGUGAGUGAUGAAGGUCUUCGGAGCGUAAAACUCUGUUAUUAGGGAAGAACAUAUGUGUAAGUAACUGUGCACAUCUUGACGGUACCUAAUCAGAAAGCCACGGCUAACUACGUG